rnacentral:rRNA from 1 species
AGAGUUUGAUCCUGGCUCAGAACGAACGCUGGCGGCAUGCCUAACACAUGCAAGUCGAACGAAGCCUUCGGGCUUAGUGGCGCACGGGUGCGUAACGCGUGGGAAUCUGCCCUUGGGUACGGAAUAACAGUGAGAAAUUACUGCUAAUACCGUAUGAUGUCUUCGGACCAAAGAUUUAUCGCCCAGGGAUGAGCCCGCGUAGGAUUAGCUAGUUGGUGAGGUAAAGGCUCACCAAGGCUACGAUCCUUAGCUGGUCUGAGAGGAUGAUCAGCCACACUGGGACUGAGACACGGCCCAGACUCCUACGGGAGGCAGCAGUGGGGAAUAUUGGACAAUGGGCGAAAGCCUGAUCCAGCAAUGCCGCGUGAGUGAAGAAGGCCUUCGGGUUGUAAAGCUCUUUUACCCGGGAAGAUAAUGACCGUACCGGGAGAAUAAGCCCCGGCUAACUCCGUGCCAGCAGCCGCGGUAAUACGGAGGGGGCUAGCGUUGUUCGGAAUCACUGGGCGUAAAGCGUGCGUA